rnacentral:lncRNA from 1 species
GACCUUGAAAAUUUCUUAAAAAAAUAUACAUGCGAUUUACAAUGCUUUUUUUAUUCUCACUACUGUCAGUACUGACAGACAGCAUACUGGUAGGCUACUAAAUAAAUGAAAAAUUCUUUGUUUAUAUUUUUCAUGACAACCUCCAGCAGUAUGAGAUAUAAAGGUUCACUGCAGUUUUGACUGUGCUCAACAAGUACUGUACACACACUAUGCUCAGCAAGUGGAGUUGCUGUGAGUUCUCAUGCAGGCUCUCAGAUUUUCUACCUAGUGUAUGAAAAGUACAGUACUGCUGUUGGAAGAGGAGCAUCAUGGCUAUGGAUAAAAGAAGGUUUCAUUACAUAUGGACAAUUAUAUUGGACAAAAUAAGAAAAGUGUUCUAAUAAGUUCUGGAAUGUGGCUUGUUAUGAUGGGUCUACAUGAUUGACUUGGAGUACAACCUGAUGGAGGCCUGGCUUGCAGAAUUCAGUCCUGAACAUGUUUAGAAUGUCUUCUGCGAGACUUGGUAUAGCAUUCUUGAAGGAUUAUAACUUCAACACAGAGACAGAGAUUAAUAUCUUAGGCAGGUGAUUGGCAUGACGCAAAUUCUCCAACCGUAUUACCAUUCCAGAGCUGGAUGCCAGUCGACAGUUGUACCUGUAUAAUAGGGUUAUUAUAACAGUAGCUUGAUCUGGUAUGCUGU